AGUCUUCAAGAUGUCACGUCCUUAAUGGCGUUAAUAUAUUUCCUUGGAUGUUACGGCUUUGGAACUGAAUCAGAACCCAAGUCUGUCUGAGGAGCAUUGACGUGCCGUUACCCAGAGCCGUUCCUCCCGGGAGAGGCGACACAGAGCCCUGAAGUACCCGAGCCCUGCGAGGUGCAGCCAGCUCAUAGCAAGAAGGAUAUGCAUU